GCUAAAAGGUUGUCUCUAGACUCAGAUUUAUUCAAACAUUGAACCAACCCAGGACAAUUAGCUUGUAAUUGUGACCAGAAAUUGACAAAAUUAAAAUUGAUUUGGAACAUGAAAUGGUUGGAAAAAGGCUAUCACAUCUUUCAAGGUGGUUUGUUCAUAUUUACAUCAACAUCAUUUGAAGACAAUAAUAAACGCAACAAGUUUUCAAUAUUA